rnacentral:rRNA from 1 species
UACGAAGGGGGCUAGCGUUGCUCGGAAUCACUGGCGUAAAGGGUGCGUAGGCGGGUCUUUAAGUCAGGGUGAAAUCCUGGAGCUCAACUCCAGAACUGCCUUUGAUACUGAAGAUCUUGAGUCCGGGAGAGGUGAGUGGAACUGCGAGUGUAGAGGUGAAAUUCGUAGAUAUUCGCAAGAACACCAGUGGCGAAGGCGGCUCACUGGCCCGGUACUGACGCUGAGGCACGAAGCGUGGGAGCAACAGG